rnacentral:rRNA from 1 species
GUACGGUCGGAAAUCGUCCGUAGAGUGUAAAGGCAAAAGAGAGCUUGAUUGCAAGACAUACAGGUCGAGCAAGGAUGAAAAUCGGACUUAGUGAUCCGGUGGUUCUGCGUGGAAGGGCCAUCGCUCAACGGAUAAAAGCUACCCUGGGGAUAACAGGCUUAUCUCCCCCAAGAGUCCACAUCGACGGGGAGGUUUGGCACCUCGAUGUCGGCUCAUCACAUCCUGGGGCUGUAGUAGGUCCCAAGGGUUGGGCUGUUCGCCCAUUAAAGUGGUACGCGAGCUGGGUUCAGAACGUCGUGAGACAGUUCGGUCCCUAUCCGUCGCAGGCGUAGGAAAUUUGAGAAGACCUGUCCUUAGUACGAGAGGACCGGGAUGGACGUACCUCUGGUGUACCAGUUGUCCUGCCAAGGGCAUGGCUGGGUAGCUAUGUAC